GCAUCACACAUUUGCUAUAAACUUGAAAUCAUUGACUGCUAUCAAGGGCAAGUAACUCUACAAGGCACUCUGGUGAAUUAUGGCCCCGUUUCUACUUUCUAUUUUAAGGGGAGCAAUUUUUUUUCUGUCCUUGGACAGGUCUUGACAGGUCUUAUUAAUUUGAUAAUUUAGUGGCAGGUAGCUUUCACUCCAGAUCACAGCAAUAAGCCACAUUGAAUUUACCAGAGCUCAAUUUGGCCACUGCAAUGUUACUGGGCAGGCUGUCAUGCAUGUUUACCAGUACUGAAUGCCUUCACUUACACAAGGAACUGAUUACUUCUGUACAUGCCAGAGCAGAAGUACAGGGCAAAUGACCAUAGAAAGGAUUUCUUGAUCAAUCACAAGGAAUGUGACCUGCCCCGUCAGAAUCAAAAUUAGGUAGCCUGAUUUAUAGUCCAAAUAUUGAGUCCACCAUAGCCUUUUGAGCUAAUGACGGCUAUUUUGAUAAUUUGUCAAAUUAAUGCCAUUUGUACUCUUUGUUGAUUCACUAAUUGGUCAUCAUUCAUGUUAACCAAUUCUUCUGUAUUUUUCUUAUAGGAGAUCUGAUGGUUCAUUAGAAAAAUGAUGUAGUGUGUGUGUUGAUCUGACGGGACAAUGAUUCCAUUAUAUAAAAAAGUUGUUAAACGGUGAGCACUAGAUGAUAUUUUCCAUCGUGUUAUCAAGACAAGACGGUAAGAAUUGCAGUGUUUUUAGUUGCUGAGCAUUGUGAAAGACGAGGCAUGUACAGAACAGAGAGGUAAAAUAUUGAAAAGGUAUAAUAUUGUAUUUAUUGUGACGGGAGGGACAUAAAUAAAUGCCAUUUUGAAUAAUAUGUUGUGGUUAGUGAAAUGAAUAGAAAAGGAUAUAGUGAAUUGCCUGGAAAGAAAUGAGAAUGAAAACAUUGUGAAGUUUUGAGAAUAUGAAUAGGACAUGAAAAGUCAGUGAAGUGAAAAAUGGAAAGCAUUGUUUGAAAUAGGAAAAAAUGAAGGAACUACAAGAGCUCAGCAAUAGACAUUUUUGAAAAAUGGAGAUGUGAAAGUGAAAAAUGAAUGAAAAUAAAUGGAAAGGGAGAGAAUAUAUGGAGAUUGGAAUAGAAAAAAUUGAAUAACAGUCGAGGAAAUGGAAAAAAAAUUGUAAAAUAGUCAAGGAAAUGGAAUGAACUAGAGGAGAGUUGAAUGAAAUGAAAUUUGAAAGUGAAAUAAA